GUAAGCAGAGGAUGGAGACUUGGAUCAGAAAGGGUGCGACCCAGAGAGCAUCUGUGAAGAGCCAGAGGCCGAGACAACUAUUGCAGGAGUCGAAUGAGCCCGUCAGGGUGGUGUCUACCCACAGUUACCCCCAUGGAAAUUUGGUCUUCAUUUACAGGCCAGUUAUUUGAGAAUAGUUCUUCUGAGUGAGAGCAGUUAUAAGAAGAGGAAGCCUGGCCCUGCAAUCUCUUCUGCAAAUGCUCCCAAUGAUGUGAUUCUAUUUACCUGGAGGGACUCUCAAGAGGACGAAAAGAUAGGGCCACCUGAUCUGGAGCGUCAACCUCCAAAACUAUGUGCCUUUGGAAGAGCUACAUCAUACAGCAAUAGAGACACAGCUCUGUGGGAAAGCACUGGCGGGCGUAGGAUGUGUAACAGAAGACACACUUCAAAUGGUAAAGAAAAUGAUCUCUUUUGUGUUUAUCAACUCAGCUUCAAAGGAAAGAAAGUGUUCUUGUCACUAGUGCCUUCAAACGAAGCGUUUGUGUCAGCGACGCAAGGCUUUCUCUGGUUUCUGACGGACACCACCACAAAGCUGGAUCUACAUGGAUAAAAGCAAACUGACCACACACUUCAGUGCCCGGGACCUGCGGGAUCAAUGCUCAGCACAGUCCACUACCCUAGCCCCUGCUCACGUGGUCACCUAAACAGGCAUGGAGCUGCCCUUGCCCGUGCUUAGAGCUUGACCAAACUAGGUUUCUCGCAGGGGUAAGUGCAGUCAGUCACUCUACCUCGUGAAGCACGGACGACCGCUACUGGAAAACUGGCAGUACUUCAGUUUUCAAAACAAACAAACAAACAAACAAAUGAUACUGUUUGCUACUUUUCAUGAUGACGUCACAUCUUGUAAUACCUGGAAAGAGUCAACAUUGUGUUCUAUGUAGCAGCUGUGAGAAAGUGCUUAUACCUAAAGACAAAUGCUUAAGAAGCCGGACAUGGGUAAAUGGAAAGAAGCAGAAAUUCUUUCCCUCUGAUCCCAGACGGUCAGACAACAGUUUGAAGGUGUUUUAAGAGCACAAAAUAGCAAAAUCAAGAAGAGUCACUGCUUCCCGGGCAGGACACUUGAGGAGGACAGACAGAGAGGCAGAGUUAGACUCAGUAUGAAUAGCAAUGUCACUCCAGAGACUGGGACUUCAGGGCAGUUCCUUAAGUCACAGAAUGGAAAUAAGCAGAGAAGGACAGAUGUGCUAACACUGUGGCGGUGACUGCAGGGAUUUCACCUGCUUGAUCUUGUUCCUCCAGAACACUCACUCCAUA